UACGUAGGUGACAAGCGUUGUCCGGAUUUACUGGGCGUAAAGAGCGCGCAGGCGGUCGUUCAAGUCGAGUGUGAAAGCCCCCGGCUCAACUGGGGAGGGUCAUUCGAUACUGAUCGACUCGAAGGCAGGAGAGGGUGGCGGAAUUCCCCAAGUAGAGGUGAAAUUCGUAGAUAUGGGGAGGAACACCGGUGGCGAAGGCGGCCACCUGGACGGUAACUGACGCUGAGACGCGAAAGCGUGGGGAGCAAACAGG
rnacentral:rRNA from 1 species